AAGAAACAGAUAUGCUUUUUUCAGUGGCCCCCUCUGCGGAUCCUCAUUCACAUUUUGAUGUUUUGUGGGUGAAAAGUGUGACUCACAACCAUCAGUAGCUGAAGGCUUUAACUGCUUCUCUACAGGGAGAGCAAGAGGAGGAGGAGGCAGAGGAGGAGGUGCACUGAGCAUGCUCAGUUGUGUCUCGGGAUUAGAACGGAGCUCUGCUGACCUUGAGGGUGUCAUAUUGAUUGCUUGACGCUGAGCUGUGUGCAUGUGUGUGUGUGUAGAGAGAGAGAGAGAGAGAGAGAGAGAGAUGGAGGUG